UCCAAUGGGAUUGGGCAGCCGAGACUCACACCAGCCAAUCGAAGGAGCAGUCGGAGGGGGACGUGAGACCGGGGGACACUCCCUCAGAGUUGCCCCUACCGUCCACCGUCAUCCUUUCCUGCGGCCGCUGAGGAGAAAGGUUCUUCAGAGUGGCGCUGGUCCAAGCUGCGAAGUCCGGCAGGGAGACUGUUAAAACCUUCAGCCCUAUAACCGGAGGUACCAUUCAAAAUAACCCUUAUGGCGUCCCUUGUGGCUCAAGCUGGUAAAGAAUCCGACUGCAAUGCCGGAGACCUGGAUUUGAUCCCUGGGAUGGGAAGAAACCCUGGAGAAGGGAGAGGCUACCCACUCCAGUAUUCUGGCCUGGCGAAUUCCACGGACUGUAUAGUCCAUGGGGUCGCAAAGAGUGGUUCAGAACUGAGCGACUUUCACUUUCACGUAGAUGAAUCAAAAUUAAACGGCUGAUAAUUUUUGUUGGUUGGGAAACAGAAUUUUCUCUUGUUCAGUCGCUGAGUCCUGUCCUUAACUCUUUACAGCCCUGGGGACUGCAGCACAUCAGGCUUCCCUGUCCUUCACUGUCUCGGGGAGUUUGCUCAAAUUAAUGUCCUGUUGAGUUUGUGAAGCUGUCUAAUGAUCUCAUGCUCUGCUGCCCUCUUUUGCCCUAUUUUGCCCUCAGUCUUUCACAGCAUCAGAGUCUUUUCCACUGAGUCUGCUCUUCCAUCAAGUAGUCAAAGUGUGAAAGUAAUAUGUUGUCCCAGUCAGAAUUCUUGACUGGCUAAAUAUAAGGCCUUACACAUAUGGUUUCAUAUACAGUGUAUACAAUAAGAAUUUACCAUUGUGUGGUACUUAACGAUAACUUUAUUAAAAUUCUCCAUGAAACAUUAAAUUAUCUUAUGGUAAGAAAUGCUUAAAGAAUGGAUUGAAGAUUCCCACUGGAGGAAUUUGGGAUAAUAUAAGCCUCAAAGAGAGUAAUUGGAAUAAUUGAAUUUAAAAAUUGGGUAAAGAAAAUGCAUGAAUUUACAAGUGCCAGUAGAAAUAAAUAAAGGGAUGGAUGAAAACUUUUCUUUCAUAGAAAUGCCAGAGAAUAAAUGUACAACAAAUAAUAGAAUUAGAAAAUCACCAUUUUGCAAAUCAGUCACAAUUGAUUCAGACUAGAGAAUGCCAAAAGUCACUGGGUGAAAAUGUUCACUUGGUAUCAAGGUAUCAAGAUGUUAAAGUAUUAAAAGUCUGUUUUUCCCUUACUUAUUAUAAAAGGGAACAACAUACCUUUAUCUUAAAAAAAAGGGGGACUGCCUUAAAUAAGUGAUCAAGGCUAAUCAAUAAUGGGACAAUCAGAUGUUAUGUGCUUACGGAUACAAUAAGAAAUAAGUAUCAUAUGACAAAUAUUCUUGACAAAGUUAUUUCCCCUGAAUUUGAGUGCACUUCUAGUUCCCUUCCCUAACCUCCACCCCCGGCCCCUGGGCACUUUUGGGCAUGUGUGGAGACGUUUUGGUUAUAACCUGGUGGGAACGGGGAAAUAUUAAACAUCCUGCAACACACAAGAUAGCUACCUGUCCAAGAUGUCAGUAGUGCCAAGCCUAAGAUACAUAGGGAAUUUAACAGGUAAAACAUAAGGAAACAGGCAGAUAAAUCUGGAAUCUGACAUUUUUUAAAAAAAACCUGGCAUGGAUUGUACAAAUGUAAUUUAACUUUUACAUUUGUAAAAGUGUAAUUUUUUUGAAAAAGAAUUCUUCCAGGUUAAAAGGAAUAAAAAGACAUGACAACAACAUGCAAUCAUGGAUUCAGAAAGAAUAGGGGAAGGAACAGAAGGGAAGAUUUUGUGGCCAAAUGCACCAAUUUCAAUAUGGACUACAUAUUGGAUAGUAUAAUGGAAUUAUAGUUUUCUUAGAUGUGAUAAUAGUCCUUAAUAUUACAAAUUUUAUGUGAAAUAUCUAUGGCUGAAGAGCUGUGGUGUUUAUAACUAUGUAUGUGUGCGCCUAUGAAAGAAGGUAACUGUCGCAAAAUGUUUAACAGGGAAUCUAAUUGGAGGGUCCAGUGUUCAUUAUAUAUUUUUAAAAAUUUUUGUCUCAGUUUAAAACCUUUCAAAAUAAAAAUUGAAGGGAAAAGCA